rnacentral:misc_RNA from 1 species
AAGACUAUAGACCUGCGGAGUACCUGCGGAAGGAUCAUUAUCGAGUUAGGGUCUUCUCAGGCCCGACCUCCCAACCCUUUGUUUACUGAACCACUGUUGCUUCGGCGGGCCCGUCGUUCACGCGACCGCCGGAGGACUGCGAAAUCAGCCCUCUGGCCCGCGCCCGCCGGUGGCCAACGUUUAUAAACUCUUGAAUGAAUCGUGUUUAUUCUCUGAGUAACAUUUAUUAAAUUAAAGCAA